UUCUUUUCUCCGGGUCAAACCAGGUACCUCCGAGCCAUUUCCAGCUCAGGGGCUGUCUGACCCCCAUUGACCCCAUGUGGCUGCGCCAAUUUGUAAUUUUUGGUCAGAAAAGGCGCGCCGAUCGCAUUCCGCCCUCCACCCCAAAGAAAAAAGCCCAACAAUUGAUGAAGGUCUUGAACGAUGGGCGGUGCAAGUGAAAGUGGUGAAGGGUCAGCGAUCGCAGUUAUUUUCCGGGUACAGUUGCUUUUGCUCUGUCUCCGUCUUUAGCUCUAAAAUGUGGCAAUAAUGUAUGCAUUUGCAUUGUUGUAGAGGCUUUUUGUGUUCGUUGCAAGACACUUGCUAGAGCAUAUAAAAGCUUUGCCAAUUUCUUUACUCUCUGAUACUUGAUUUUAAUGGGUUAUGGAUAAAUUGUGUGCUUUCUGAUAUUUGGGCAAAUACCAUAUUGAACAAUGUGAAAUUCAUAGGCCAAAGAAUGAAAUUGAAAUUUUGAUAUUGAGGAAGACAGUGGAGAAAAAAAAAAGGAAAAAAAAAGAUUUAUAUCAAUCUUUUCGAAGAAUAUUCACCUUCUUGCAGCAGAUUAUGUGCGUUGUCAUGCAGGAUAGGGGCAUAGUAGGGCCUUGCUCCUGAUCUCUUGGCUAUGUCUUCCUUGGAAUUAAAAUGGGUUGAUGGUAUUGCUUCCAUAUGCCUUUUGUGUUGACAAUGUUUACAUGGACUUUUUUGACACGUCUGGUGCUGAAAUCCGUUUUGAAAGGGAUGGUUGGUUGGUUGUUACGUCUGGUGCUAGAAUAGAUGUUCGGAGCAAUAUCACUGUCCCCACUAGCAUUUAUUGUCUGGGUGGAUAAAAUCUGUCCAAAUUGAUUGGUUUUUUCUUUGUCCCCAAGGUGAUGGUUCUUGGAGUAUUCUAAAGUAUACAACAAGGGAAUUGCUGUUCCAUGGAAUCAAGGACGUGAGAACAUCUUGGUGUGUUGGCUGGUUUUCAGUCCAUAGUUUUUACAAGAAAAAGGACGUUGGAAGCUCAAAUAUGGUUUGAUUAUUGGCUUGUGUCUCUUUGUGAAGGCACCAACGAAACUCAUACAUGCGAACAUGCUCCUUUUUCUUGAAUUCAGAGGGAGGAUGGACAGAUUUUAUGGGUGCAUUCCAAAUUAAUUUUCUGUUCACUUUAUCUCCGAGGAGGAGUUUUAUGGCAUUUUAAACUUAUUGCUGUUAAGUAUAUUGAUUUAUAUAAAGGUAUCAUCCAAAUGGGAAUCAGGACCAGACAGAACCCUGUGUAGUACAAAUUCAAUUUGGUGCACUGAGCAGCCUACCCACUCACAUUUCAUUGACUUAUUAUGUGCCCUUCAUGGGGCAAUAAUUGCCCCUUGACCACAAUUUUUGGGGUCUGAAAUGCAUAUCUCAGUGUUGCUUUUGUAUGUAAGAUUCUUUUCAUAUGCAAUUAUUUUUUUUAUACUUAUGGUACCAUCUGGUCAAUCAGCACUGAAUGAAUUGCUUGAAGUUUGGUGGUUUUGACAGAAAAUGGACCUUUUUUUUGUGUCAGAUUUUCCAACAGAUUUUGCUAUGUUCACUGGCUAAGCAACAUUAGAGUUAUCACUGUCUUUAAGUGAGACAUAGAUAUUCUAUUUAAGGUAAGUGAAGUACUUAGGCUUUUUUUACUUUUUGAGAUUCUGUGAUUUGUACAAAUCAUUGAAAAGUAGAUUCAAUGAUAUCGUAAAUAUUUGAGUACUCUUAGAGGAAUGUGUACUCUGUGUUCAUAACUCAGUUGUUCUCUUUAUUUUACAAGUAUUGAAUAGUUAUAGAAAAUUGUCGGAAGUUUGAAUGACUUGAAUGUGUCAUCAAAACUCAUCCCCUAUCACCAAAACUAAUUGGAGUGAUGACCCCUUCUUGUGAAUAUUCUCAAGCAAAGGUCCUUAGCAUCCUAAGAAAAGCGGAAGCUUCCCUUUAUAUUGUGGUGAUUUUAGUCUUCUGAGACUGACUGGUGUUUUGAGUGGUUUCUGAAACAGAGGAAACCAUACUGAACCAAUGCAUUAUGUAAUUAUGAAAGUACACAUGCUGUCGACAACUUUCCAACCAGUGUAUUGUACAGUGAUUAAACAGGUACCUGAAUUGUUUGAACAACAGAAUGCCUAUUCUAACUUUCUGACAUAGAGAUAGAAGAAUCUCUUAAAGAGCAAAAUUUCUCUCCUAUUUGAGUUCACUUUCUUGAUAGAUCCUUCUUUUUGCUGACGUUGGAUGCAUAUGAAGGUGGAUGAAGAUGUAGAAAUUCAUUAACUUUGAUAUUUUAUGGUUGAAAUGAAAGGUACAGAAACUCAUGGAUAUUAUAUGAUUAGCCAGAGCAUUAAACUGGAAAUCCUCACUUUGUACUUUGUAGAGAAAAAAAGGAACAAAUAAAGUGAUUUUUGUGUGAGAUCUGUGCCAGCCUGCUAUGUUGUGCGAGUCUUCUAAAUUAAGAGAAGAACAAAAAAAACCAAAACAAUAAAUAAAUAAAUAAAGUAACAAAGGAUACAAUUAACCAUCUUUGUUUCUGAUUAGUUGGAUGAAUGCCAGUAAAUUUGUUUGUUCAAUUUGUUCAAUAUAGUUUGUCAUUAUGAUAUUCUGUUAUUUUUCAUUUUCAAUUUCAGGUUUUGUCACGAUUCACUACUACUCUAGUAGUAACCUUUAUCAAUUUCUAUUUGCUGUUACUACUACUACUACUAGACACACAUACACAUCAACAUUAUAAUGAAUUAAUAUUAUGAUGAAUUUCUAGGUUCAGACAAUUGUUGAUGUAAAAUUGUAAUCUCUACUGGAACUGAAUUAUUGUGUAACUGAGUUUAAAAAUUAUUAAAUGGAACGUAACUGAAGGGAUUGCUUUAAUGUCAUUUUAUAUUCUGCAUGAUCAUUUUAGAAGCUAAGAUGAAUGCUCUGUAGGUCUGAGCUCCUUCACUCACAUUGCAGUUGCCAGCUCUUUCUCAUUUAGCUAUUGCCAAAAUUUGGUACAAAUUAGUGCUGACCUAGAUUAGCCAAUAAGUGAAACUAUCAUCAUCUCAUCAUCUAAUAUACCCAGUUGUUUUAGCGGUUCAUGGCAGCAACAUAUGAUAUUAAUAUGGCAAGGUGACAGAGGCAACAAGUUGAACAUUGCAACUACAGGUAUCCGGUAUGCCCAUAUUCGUGUCUUGCUCACAUGAAUGGUCAGAUAUGGUGCUGUCCUUUGAAUCCAUUGUUAUCAUAGUGUUACCAUCCCGUAUCUACUUGCAGAUCGGAUGAGAGGGACUGAGGCCUGCCCUUGAUUCAUUUGAGAGGGAGAAAGAGAUGGAGCUGGUAGGGUUGUGAUAGGGUCCAUGUGACAUGUGAAGUUGAAAUGGUUUGUGUGCUUUUGUGGGGUGAAGUGGUAUGAUUGGUUUACAUUGGGACCCCUUUUGGCUCACUUUGAUAGGAGAAGAAGGAAGUAGGGCAAACUUGGGGAUGGCAACUUGUAGGAAGCACUGAAAGACCAGCCCUUCUGCCCAUCAUCUGCUACUGCCGCUGCUAUGAAGCCUUAGUUCCCAGCAAAUGGACAAGUUUGAAAGAUUCUCUUGUUUAUAUGUUUUUUUUUUUUUCCUUUUUCAGGUGCAAUUAAAUUAGUCUAGUUAUCACUUUUCUUCCGCAACUUGUUUUUUAGCACCAAUUAAAAAUUUGCAUCUCUAUGGGGAGCAUCUCAUCUCCCCUUUCUCCUUUCCCCUUUCCCCUUUUCAUGCCUUCUUCAAAGUGUGAUAUGCCCUCUACAUAAUUUGUUUUGGAAUUGUCUCUAAUUCUCUAUACUAACAAAAACAGUGGUCUAUUAACCUUUAA